GGAUCUCUUGGUUCUCGCAUCGAUGAAGAGCGCAGCGAAAUGCGAUACCUAGUGUGAAUUGCAGCCAUCGUGAAUCAUCGAGUUCUUGAACGCACAUUGCGCCCCUCGGCAUUCCGGGGGGCAUGCCUGUUUGAGCGU
rnacentral:rRNA from 2 species